GAGGGAGUAAUAAACAAGAAAGAUCACAAAAAACAGUAAAAAAAAGAAAAUAAUCCAAAACGAUUUUACUAAAAGUUGUUUCCAAAUUAACUAUUUACAUUUACCUUACAAACAUUAUUUUUUAUAUUUACAAAUCCAAAAAACUAGGUAGAAACUAGAAACUAAUAUUUACAAUUUCAGCAAAAAAAAAAAAAAAAGUUGACCUACACCUUCAAUAAUUCUUUAUCUUGAAAUAUGACACAUAAGACGGUGAAUUUGUUUCAAUUACCUCCCACUCCGAUGUCUAUUCUGAAUUCACCGACUCUAAAUUCUUAAUAUGACACAUAAGGCAGGUGAAUUCAUCCUAAUCUAUUUACCUUCGAUAUAUAUUCUGAAUUCACUAAUUUUAAAUCUUGAAUUCUCUACACUUUCAACCAAUCUUGAAGUGACACCAAGAAGCCUUCGACGCGAAACAUUCUGAAUCCACUAACUUUAAAUCUUGAAUUCUCUAUGCUUUCAACCAAUCUUGAAUUGACACCAAGAAGCCUUCGACGCAAAACAUUCUGAAUCCACUAACUUUAAAACUUGAAUACUCUGCGCUUUCAAUCUAUCUUGAAUUGACACCAAGAAGCCUUCAACACGAACUAUACAUUCUGAAUCCACUAAUUUUAAAUCUUGAAUAACUUGAAUUGACACCAAGAAGAACAAGAAGUAAAAGAUGGAUAACUAACUAUCUUUUUUUUUUUUUUUUUUUUUUUUGAGGGAUAUAGAAAAAUAUCAAAUCUUGUUAUAUCUAUGCCAAAAAAUAAGCAUGAUGAUACAUCUUCUAAUAAUAUAGAAUAUUGAACGUUGCUCUUUGAUCAAAGUAUAACAAGAAGAAGAAACAUGAAGAAACUUCAUGUUUCUUCUUAUUAUUAUUCACACAACAAACUUCCUUUUUAUCCAAUUUUUGUCUCCAUAAAAUUGCCUUUCUAUUUUCUUCACAUGGAUAAUUUGUUGAAACCCAUUGACCCAUGAUCUCUAUAAAUAUCCCAAAAACACCAAAAAAUUAAAAUUAAUUUUUUGUGAAUAGUUUUUUUUUCAAACUUUCUUUGUAUAGAUGUAAAGGGAGUUUGAGAAGAAGGUGGUUAAGGGUACUUUGAUUCUAUUUUUGAG
rnacentral:lncRNA from 1 species